GCGCCGGUGGUGUAAGGCGAACAUCGCUGCCCGGAAAGCAGAAGAUGCAGGUUCGAGUCCCGCCUGACGCA
rnacentral:tRNA from 1 species